ACUCCAAGUAGUGGUCCUUAUAAUAGCAAGUCGUUAAGUCUCUCCCAAGCUUCGUCGAUGUCCUCAUCUUCCUUCUGCUCAAAGUUCCAAAUUUCCUUCCUUAGCUU